UACGUAGGUGUCAAGCGUUGUCCGGAUUUAUUGGGCGUAAAGCGUGCGUAGGUGGUUUGUUAAGUCUGAUGUGAAAGCCCUGGGCUCAACCUGGGAAUUGCAUUCGAGACUGCAUUGCUAGAGUAUGGGAGAGGGAAGUGGAAUUUCCGGUGUAGCGGUGAAAUGCGUAGAUAUCGGAAGGAACAUCAGUGGCGAAAGCGACUUCCUGGACCAAUACUGACGCUCAUGUGCGAAAGCGUGGGGAGCAAACAGG
rnacentral:rRNA from 1 species